rnacentral:lncRNA from 1 species
GCGGUGCUGCUCCCUCAUCCUGCGUGAGGCUGCUCCGCCUCGGCAGCGGCACUCCCUGCCCUGCUCUGCCCUUUUCCCGAGGCUCGGAACUAUCCAAACGAGUCGAGCAAACACCGGGUCACCGCAGUGCCCCAAGACACUCCACAUGGCCCAAAAGCACGGCAUCCCGACAUUCCACGCGCACCAGAAUAUCUCCCCUGGAUCUGUAUGCGGUUCCUUUGAACGAGUCCAAUAAGCGCCCUGCUAGGAAGUGCCUCUCCUCCGUGCGGCCUCGCUCAGAAGAAGACAGACAUCUGAUCCACAUUAAACACAGAACCCCUCUCUCAUCCUUACGUGCGCUUCUUACUGAGGUCUCUGUCAAAACUACACCACUUAAUCGCUUCGCUUUAUGGUUUGCUCUUUGUAAAAGUAAAAUCAGAUAAAAGUGUGUUGUCUUUGAUGCCAAGU